GAUGAACGCUAGCGGCAGGCUUAAUACAUGCAAGUCGAGGGGCAACAGGGGUAGCAAUACCUGCUGGCGACCGGCAAACGGGUGCGGAACACGUACAGAACCUUCCUUUAAGCGGGGGAUAGCCCAUAGAAAUGUGGAUUAAUACCCCAUAGUAAUGUUGAGUGGCAUCACUUAAUAUUUAAAGAUUUAUCACUUAAAGAUGGCUGUGCGGCUGAUUAGGUAGUUGGUCGGGGUAACGGCCCACCAAGCCAACGAUCAGUAACUGGUGUGAGAGCACGACCAGUCACACGGGCACUGAGACACGGGCCCGACUCCUACGGGAGGCAGCAGUAAGGAAUAUUGGACAAUGGGCGCAAGCCUGAUCCAGCCAUGCCGCGUGAGUGAUGAAGGCCCUAGGGUGUAAAGCUCUUUGUGCGGGAAGAUAAUGACGGUACCGCAAGAAUAA
rnacentral:rRNA from 1 species